ACUUUCGUGCGUCUGAGCAGCGCAGUGAGAAAAAUAAAAAGAAAGAGAGUGUUUUAUUUCGGGGGAACGGUUUUUAUGAUUGAGGCAUCCCGGACACGAGUGAGUUGAAGUGCGUGGACUGGAAGAAAAACACCAUCUGUUGUUUGGACAGUGAAAAAAAGGGAAUUCCUCGGUUGGGUGUUGGUCUGGUCGCUGAGCAGUUUGGAUCAGUCUGCGAUCACACAGAUUUCGUAUUUCUCCGUGGGUGAGAAAUAUCUGCGUAGAGGAAUCGUGCAGGCCGCGGAAAUCGAGCAGGGGAGAACGAAGGCACGUGAAGGUGCAUGUGAGGUGACAGCUGGGUGAAUUUCUAAUGUGACGCAGCACGCCACAGAAUUUCAACAUCCUUCACUUCUUCAUUAGAUUUUCUGCUGGUAUUAAAAUGAGCUGUAUUGGUGGUCAUGGGCAG